GUGGGGAAUAUUGCGCAAUGGGCGAAAGCCUGACGCAGCGACGCCGCGUGGGUGAUGAAGGCCUUCGGGUCGUAAAGCCCUGUCGGGAGGGACGAAACAUCGACGGUCCAAUACGCCGUCGACCUGACGGUACCUCCUAAGGAAGCACCGGCUAACUCCGUGCCAGCAGCCGCGGUAAUACGGAGGGUGCAAGCGUUGUUCGGAAUCACUGGGCGUAAAGCGCGUGUAGGCGGCCUUCUAAGUCUGGUGUGAAAGCCCGGGGCUCACCCCCGGAAGUGCACUGGAUACUGGAUGGCUAGAGUACCGGAGAGGAGGGUGGAAUUCCUGGUGUAGCGGUGAAAUGCGUAGAUAUCAGGAAGAACACCGGUGGCGAAGGCGGCCCUCUGGACGGAUACUGACGCUGAGACGCGAAAGCGUGGGGAGCAAACAGGAUUAGAUACCCGAGUAGUCC
rnacentral:rRNA from 1 species